rnacentral:rRNA from 1 species
AGAGUUUGAUCAUGGCUCAGAAUCAACGCUGGCGGCGCGCUUAACACAUGCAAGUCGAGCGAGAAAGGGGAGCAAUCCCUGAGUAAAGCGGCGUACGGGUGAGUAACACGUGGGUAAUCUACCUUUUAGUGGGGAAUAACCCUGGGAAACCGGGGCUAAUACCGCAUAAUCCUGUGAAGGGAAAGCAGCAAUGCGCUGAAAGAGGAGCCCGCGGCCGAUUAGCUAGUUGGUGAGGUAAUGGCCCACCAAGGCGACGAUCGGUAGCCGGCCUGAGAGGCCACACGGCCACACUGGCACUGAAACACGGGCCAGACUCCUACGGGAGGCAGCAGUGGGGAAUCUUGCACAAUGGGGGAAACCCUGAUGCAGCGACGCCGCGUGAGCGAUGAAGCCCCUCGGGGUGUAAAGCUCUUUCGGCAGGAACGAUAAUGACGGUACCUGAAGAAGAAGCUGCGGCUAACUACGUGCCAGCAGCCGCGGUAAUACGUAGGCAGCGAGCGUUGUUCGGAAUUACUGGGCGUAAAGAGUGUGUAGGCGGUGCCCUAAGUUCGGUGUGAAAUCUCCCGGCUCAACUGGGAGGGUGCGCCGGAAACUGGGGUGCUCGAACGUGGGAGAGGAAAGCGGAAUUCCUGGUGUAGCGGUGAAAUGCGUAGAUAUCAGGAGGAACACCUGUGGUGUAGACGGCUUUCUGGACCAUUGUUGACGCUGAGACACGAAAGCGUGGGUAGCAAACAGGAUUAGAUACCCUGGUAGUCCACGCCCUAAACGAUGCAUACUUGGUGUCGGCCAUUCAGUUGGUCGGUGCCGGAGCUAACGCGUUAAGUAU